rnacentral:rRNA from 1 species
CGAACGGGCGAGUAACGCGUGAGGAACCUGCCUCAAAGAGGGGGACAACAGUUGGAAACGACUGCUAAUACCGCAUAAGCCCACGGUGCCGCAUGGCACAGAGGGAAAAGGAGCAAUCCGCUUUGAGAUGGCCUCGCGUCCGAUUAGCUAGUUGGUGAGGUAACGGCCCACCAAGGCGACGAUCGGUAGCCGGACUGAGAGGUUGAACGGCCACAUUGGGACUGAGACACGGCCCAG